rnacentral:rRNA from 1 species
UACGUAGGGGGCAAGCGUUGUCCGGAAUCAUUGGGCGUAAAGCGCGUGUAGGCGGCCCGGUAAGUCCGCUGUGAAAGUCCAGGGCUCAACCCUGGGAUGCCGGUGGAUACUGUCGGGCUCGAAUCCGGGAGAGGGAUGCGGAAUUCCAGGUGUAGCGGUGAAAUGCGUAGAUAUCUGGAGGAACACCGGUGGCGAAGGCGGCAUCCUGGACCGGCAUUGACGCUGAGGCGCGAAAGCCAGGGGAGCAAACGGG